UCCAAGAUGUUGAUCAGUUUGUUCAGGGUCCUUUUGUCAGAUACACAUCUGUGCAUGGAGGAUCACCACAGGCCUGAGGUGUGGUCAGGAGAGGACAAGCUGGACUUGGAUAGCUGGUACCUCACCCCUUUGCCAUGAUGAAGGUAAACACCGCUGCACCGGAGGGGUUCAGAGCCUGAGAACAUGACCGCAUCACAUCCCCCGCACACAACACUUGCCUUACCCCACACUGCAGUCCUUGACCUGAGACCACCUGGCCAAGGGUACUGCUACGUCCACUCAUGCGAGAUCUCCUCGCCACUGAGAUAGGGCGUGGAGGAGAUGGAAAGGGACAGGAGACCCUGGGAAUACUUAGCAGACCUUGGGGCUCUUAGUACACUCAAUGUAGUCAAAACUUACUUACACCUACUCAAUUAUAUAGUCUAUAGCAGUGGUCUCCAACACGGUGCC